UGCUGGCCCGAGUGCAAUGGUGUUUACAACCAAUUGAUCACAACCAAUUACAGAUUCCUUUGUUCCUUCUCCAUUCCCGCUGCUUCACUUGACUAGCCAAAA
rnacentral:Y_RNA from 1 species